rnacentral:rRNA from 1 species
CCCCGCACAAGCAGCGGAGCGUGUGGUUUAAUUCGAUGAUACACGAAGAACCUUACCAGGGUUUGACAUGCUAGUGGUAGGGAUCCGAAAGGUGACCGACCCCUCGGGGAGCUAGCACAGGUGCUGCAUGGCUGUCGUCAGCUCGUGUCGUAAGAUGUUCGGUUAAGUCCGCUAACGAGCGCAACCCUUGCUGUGUGUUACAUGUGUCACACGGGACUGCCGGUCUUAAACCGGAGGAAGGUGGGGAUGACGUCAAGUCAGCAUGGCCUUUAUGUCCUGGGCUACACACACGCUACAAUGGCCGGUACAAUAGGUUGCGAAGCCGCGAGGCGGAGCCAAUCCUCAAAGCCGGCCUCAGUUCAGAUUGCAGGCUGCAACCCGCCUGCAUGAAGAUGGAGUUGCUAGUAACCGCAGGUCAGCUAUACUGCGGUGAAUACGUUCCCGGGGCUU